AAAGCGGAUAAAAACAAAAUCUGAAAGCCCUAAUUGGAUUCAGUCUUUUUUUCUCUGCCGACUAAUCACUCUCUUUUGGUCUUUGGCCUUCUGCAAAUUGUCGAUUCUCAUUCCCAAUCUCGAGUCUGGACUUCUCAGUUCUAAGCCUAUCUCUGUGUCUUUAGGUUUGACUCUUUGUAGCUAUCUCUCUCUCGGGCGAGAACAAGGGACUAACAUGGAUUAAGACCAACAAAAUGAGGGGUUGAGCAUGAGGUCGUGGCAAGAACAAGAAAGAGACAUCUUUGUAAUUUGUCUUUGAUUUCAGUUUAGACAAGAAUUUCUGAUUUUGUGUUCUUUGUUGUUUGUUAGAAAUUAAACAACUUGUGCAUGUUGAUGAAACGCAAGACUUAUGUUCUAUUGUAUGUGUUCGUCACAUUUU